AUGAACGCUAGCUACAGGCUUAACACAUGCAAGUCGAGGGGCAUCAGGAAGAAAGCUUGCUUUCUUUGCUGGCGACCGGCGCACGGGUGAGUAACACGUAUCCAACCUGCCCUUUACUCGGGGAUAGCCUUUCGAAAGAAAGAUUAAUACCCGAUGGCAUAAUGAUUCCGCAUGGUUUCAUUAUUAAAGGAUUCCGGUAAAGGAUGGGGAUGCGUUCCAUUAGGUUGUUGGUGAGGUAACGGCUCACCAAGCCUUCGAUGGAUAGGGGUUCUGAGAGGAAGGUCCCCCACAUUGGAACUGAGACACGGUCCAAACUCCUACGGGAGGCAGCAGUGAGGAAUAUUGGUCAAUGGGCGCUAGCCUGAACCAGCCAAGUAGCGUGAAGGAUGAAGGCUCUAUGGGUCGUAAACUUCUUUUAUAUAAGAAUAAAGUGCAGUAUGUAUACUGUUUUGUAUGUAUUAUAUGAAUAAGGAUCGGCUAACUCCGUGCCAGCAGCCGCGGUAAUACGGAGGAUCCGAGCGUUAUCCGGAUUUAUUGGGUUUAAAGGGAGCGUAGGUGGACUGGUAAGUCAGUUGUGAAAGUUUGCGGCUCAACCGUAAAAUUGCAGUUGAUACUGUCAGUCUUGAGUACAGUAGAGGUGGGCGGAAUUCGUGGUGUAGCGGUGAAAUGCUUAGAUAUCACGAAGAACUCCGAUUGCGAAGGCAGCUCACUGGAUUGCAACUGACACUGAUGCUCGAAAGUGUGGGUAUCAAACAGGAUUAGAUACCCUGGUAGUCCACACAGUAAACGAUGAAUACUCGCUGUUUGCGAUAUACAGUAAGCGGCCAAGCGAAAGCAUUAAGUAUUCCACCUGGGGAGUACGCCGGCAACGGUGAAACUCAAAGGAAUUGACGGGGGCCCGCACAAGCGGAGGAACAUGUGGUUUAAUUCGAUGAUACGCGAGGAACCUUACCCGGGCUUAAAUUGCAGUGGAAUGAUGUGGAAACAUGUCAGUGAGCAAUCACCGCUGUGAAGGUGCUGCAUGGUUGUCGUCAGCUCGUGCCGUGAGGUGUCGGCUUAAGUGCCAUAACGAGCGCAACCCUUAUCUUUAGUUACUAACAGGUCAUGCUGAGGACUCUAGAGAGACUGCCGUCGUAAGAUGUGAGGAAGGUGGGGAUGACGUCAAAUCAGCACGGCCCUUACGUCCGGGGCUACACACGUGUUACAAUGGGGGGUACAGAAGGCAGCUAGCGGGUGACCGUAUGCUAAUCCCAAAAUCCUCUCUCAGUUCGGAUCGAAGUCUGCAACCCGACUUCGUGAAGCUGGAUUCGCUAGUAAUCGCGCAUCAGCCACGGCGCGGUGAAUACGUUCCCGGGCCUUGUACACACCGCCCGUCAAGCCAUGGGAGCCGGGGGUACCUGAAGUACGUAACCGCAAGGAUCGUCCUAGGGUAAAACUGGUGACUGGGGCU
rnacentral:rRNA from 1 species